UACGGAGGGUGCGAGCGUUGUCCGGAUUUAUUGGGCGUAAAGAGCGUGUAGGCGGCUUGGUAGGUCCGCUGUGAAAACUCGAGGCUCAACCUCGAGAUGUCGGCGGAAACCACUUGGCUAGAGUCCGGAAGAGGAGAGUGGAAUUCCCGGUGUAGCGGUGAAAUGCGCAGAUAUCGGGAAGAACACCUAUGGCGAAGGCAGCUCUCUGGGACGGUACUGACGCUGAGACGCGAAAGCGUGGGGAGCGAACAGG
rnacentral:rRNA from 1 species